GACCCGGGUCUGCGGCCAUUUCUCGGAGGAGGCGGCGGCUCCCGGACCUGGGCAGAUUGCAACAAUAAAGAAAGUGACUCACCGUGUCUUCUCAAAAGAUACUAGAAGAUGGACAGUGAAUGAAUGAUUCCAUGCUGUCCUAACUGUUCUGUAAAUUACAGCUCAUCCAAUUUUGUCUCUGCUGGCUAAUUGGGCUGUUGAAGCAGUGCAACCCCUCCUAAUGUCUGAUCAACACGGAGUACCGAAGGAGAAAGUGAAAGAGGAAGAUGAUAUGUUGAGUGGAGAUUUGGGUGAUGGCUUUCGCAGGAAGCCUGGUGGAAUUUACGAUCAGAAACAUUGUUCCGUUGCUGAUACUGCAAGAUCAAGACAAGGAUCAGAUUGCAAUGGUGAUGCUUUUGGUAGAAGUGUAAAUAAGGAUGAAAAGAAUGAGAUUCCAUGUCUCUGUUGGACCAAAAACGGCAGCAUUUAUGGUUCCUUCCAUCAGCUCUCGACUUCUGAUGUGAUGAGUAUCAGGAGACAAUCAAGCAAUGCUGAAGUUGAAAUGUCAAAUGAAGAACUCAAACUGAGGCUCCAGGAAGUUAUGCAGGAAGCAGAACUUCUGCGAUCUGAGCUUGAAGUAACACAACAGCAACUGGAGGGAAAAUACGAAGCAUUAAAGAUACUACAGGACAUGGCAGUGCUCGAUAAGGCCACAGUUCAUACAAAGACUUUACUGCAAAAAACAGGAGAACGAAACAAGAUUUUAGAAAAGGAAGUGAAUAUAUUACAGUGGGAAAAUGACUUCAAACAAGAUAAAUUUAAACAUUUGGAACAAUUCUGGGUUGAAAGACUUGAAAGAACGUGCAUUGAAAAUACUGAACUUGCGAAAAAAUUGGAAGCAAGAGAUGGUGAGAUUCGGGAUCUCAAAUCAGAAAAUACCUUGUUGAGCCAGCAGUGUUCAGAACUACUAGCAAUGCUCAAUAUAAAGGAUCAACACACAUUCGAAAAAAUGUUGCCAGCAAACAUGAAUGGCUUUACUGAGAUUACAGCAUUAGAGAUUCUUGUUGUUGUUCUUCAGCUGGGAGUGCUUGGAGCUUGUCACUGCAAUGGCAUUGGAGCGGAGCCUUGUGGCUGUGCCAGGAUGGCAGCUGCUACCCGAAGGCAAUUGUUGGGGCUGCAGCAAGAGAUUGACCUUCAGAGGAAGCGUGAGGAAGAGGCACAUCUUAUGGCUGAUGCAUUUAGAAGUGCUUUUGAACAUCAACUGAAAAGGACAAAUGACCAAACUCUUCGAAUUACUGAAGUAGGAAAACUGCAUAGAAAAUAUCUCAAGAAAGGGCUCGUAUGGACACAAUCCAAAGGAGAUCCUGCUUACAAAACAGAAGUGAACCAUAUAACACUUGGGCAAAGGUUGAAGGGGCUGUUCAAUUCCUCAGCAGACUAUAAGAAACUGGAAGUCUUGGAUGACCCACAAGAGGUGCUGAGGAUGCUUAUUGACUUGUUAAAUGAUAAAGAGGAGGCUCUGGCGCAUCAGAGGAAGGUGAGCUAUAUGUUGGCACGAACAAUUGAAGAACAAGAUCACAAUAACUCAAAAAAGGACACCCCAACUAUUGAUGGUUCUAAAGUUCUUCAAUGUCAAAGAAGGUCUCAAGAAUUCAAAAAUAUUUCUUGCCCAUCAGUUGAUCAAAGCGUAAAGGAGCACAGAACUGUUUUGAGGACAUAUUCUUUUCCUCCCAGUUACUUUACAGAAAGAUAAACAAGAUGUGGAGAAUUUUAAAAACAAACUUUUUACAGCAAAAUAUUUAAUGGAAUUAGAUGAAGCACUCCUUGAAAUGAAGUGUGCUGGAAAUUGCGGACUAAUGAAUUUUACGUAUUUUUUAAAUAAUCUCUUCAAAAGCUGUGGACGUGUUAAAUUUGUGACUAAACAGUUUUUGUUUUCCUUUUCACUGGAAUAUUAUUAGUCCAUUUUUAAAAACUAGUUCAGCACUUACUAUGACACUGGGUGGAAUGACGUUUUCACACUUUAUUGUAUUAUGACAAUUAAAUAUUAUUUACCGUAUAAUCUAAACAAUGAAUACAAAUCUGGGAAAAUCAUGAUCAAACCAAUGCCCUGGCCAAAGAGACAAAUGGAGCUUUGUUUUCGGGUCUGGUCACUGAGGAGCAGUGGGAAGAAGGCAGGUGACAGACACGUGAUGGUCCAGGUUUUGAAGAUCUCAGUUUUGUAAAAAGACAAGUGAAAUUUGGGUUCUGCAGCCUUGAAAGAAAGUACCUUGAAAGCAAUCAUGUGGCAGAAGAGAGGGAGAAACUUCAAGUAGUAAUCAUCGUCACUGGUGAAGAAGAAUUGGGCAAACUAAUGAAACUAAAGGCUGACAACUCCCUUGAAUCUUAAGGCCUUGCUUUCAGAGAUGGUGGAUGCAUUGGAUGUGAGCUUCCAUAAUUCCCUGGAUUCUGGGAAGUUCCCAGCAUAUUGAAGAAAACAAAUUUAUUGUCUCAUUCAAAAAAAAAACUCAGUCCCUUCUUAAGUCAAUAAUCAGAUAGGAUAAUUUGGAGGUGGAGGAUGCAGAUUCUGCAAAACAAUAGAGAUGUGUGGACAGAAAUUUGUCAGAUGGAAUAUAUGUGAGGAAGGUAGAAUGUGGUAGGGAAAAAUUAAAAAGCAGAAUAUUGUCAAAGUGGAGUGAGAUUACAGAACGUGCGCCGUGAUAUUAGCAACACUAAAGUUGGCAUACAGGUACACCAAGAAAUUAGAGAGGCAAACAGAAUGUUGGUCUUUAUUGAAAGGGAGAUUAAACUGGGGAGGGUAGUUUCAGAAUAACAGGUUGCCCAUUCUAAGCUACAGGUGAGAUUGAAUUUCUUCUCAGGUUUAUCAGUCUCUGAAAUUCUCUACCCCAGAGUGUGGUGGGGACGGAGCAAUAUUUUUGGAUUAUAGGUGAACUUAGAGUUAAGGGGGUUGAAGUUGUGUCAGCCAUGAUGUUAAAGAGCAGAAAAGAAUUGAAGAGCUGACUGGCCUGUUUUUGUCCUACCUCACUUGUUAUUACAGAUUUACACUUGUUUUAUCAGUGCAUCUGGGUGUAGACCAAACUUCUGAAAACUUGAUAAACCCAAAUAAUUUACUUACAUGAAAAGCAGAAGCAUAACUAUGUAGCCAGGAUUUAUUAAGAUGAACUAAUGUUUCUGCUGGUCCCAUUUGAGAUCCACAGCUCCUGAAACCAGUGAAAUUACAGGAAAACUACAGGCAUUAUGUGGCUUUGGUGAAACAGCCUUGUAGAGAGGAGGGUGGUUUGAACUCAUCUAGAAAAUCACCUCCAAGUGGUUUCAAAUAAAAAUAGAUGAAUUGUUUUUAAAUAUAUAUUUAUGAGAUCAAUUUAAGAUCAUCCUUUCACUCCAGUUUUAAUCUUCAUAAAAUAAACCUGAAAUUUAGCAGUAAAAACCCAAAAUGGUGAACAGAGAUGAUAGAAGAUCUCUGUAUCAGUCGCAUGUACAUCGAAGCACACAGUGAAAUGCAUCUUUUGCGUAGAGUGUUCUGGGGCAGCCCGCAAGUGUCACCACGCUUCCAGUGCCAACAUAGCAUGCCCACAACUUCCUCACCCGUACGUCUUUGGAAUGUGGGAGGAAACCGGAGCACCCAGAGGAAACCCACGCAGACACGGGGAGAACGUACAAACUCCUUACAGACAGUGGCAGGAAUUGAACCCGGGUCACUGGUGCUGUAAAGCGUUACGCUAACCAAGACCUUAACCAUAUUUUAAAUAGUUUGAUUAUCAUGUAACCUAAACAGAAAUUGAUUUGAAAUAAUGGUUUAAUAUCAGAUUUUGGUGCCGACAAGUGAUUUUUAAGUAUGUGAAAGGAAAUUCCGUUAUCACAAUGACCUUUGGAUUUAAAUCCUUCAAUAAACUGAGAUUCCACUGCAGUUUAAGCACUGGUAGGACAUGAACCUCAAAUAUAAUCUUCUUAAUGCCAUCGUUUUGUAUCAUGCAGUUUUGGUUUAUGCCUCACAGUUCUGCCAAUGAAACUGUUGAUAACAGGGAAGAGACAGGUUAAGUUUGCCAAAAAUCUCGAAAGUAGCAAGAUUACAAUGAACUAAUGAAAUAAAAGAUGGUUGAUAUAGAACCUCAUUAUAAUCAAUCAGUGACAGUGGAUCACCUGCCUCAGUUGUCUUCGACAUGACUAAAGAAAAAUCCAGUUUAAGAUAAUCGAUUUUAAUUGCUUUCUUCAAAGUUUAUCUUUUGAGGAUUAAGUUUGAUUGCGAAGUAUGUUUUUGUGAACUGUACUAACUUUGAAAAUAUUAUCCUUUGGUUUUGAAAUUGAUGUGGAUUGUAAAGCUCAAUAAUUUCUUGGUAACUAGGUUCAAUAGAGUAAGCUGAAGAGAUUGCAGCUUUUUUACUGCAUGUUUUUAUUAGUUCUGCAUGGUUAACUUCUGAGAAGAAAGAUUGUCACAUUAAGAACCUUUUAAUUCCCCAUUUGACUUCCCAUUAGUUUCCAGCUAAUGAAGUAACUGGGGAAUGUACACAUUGUAACAUGUAAGAGCUCAUUUACCCACAGCAGUCUCCUAUCAGUAGCAAUAUGGAAAUAACCAAAUGGUUUUGUGCUAUUGAGGGAUAAAUAUUGGCUGGGACAAUUUAGCUCCCAGCUAGACUUCUCCUUCCAGUUUCAAGUUUUAUUUAUGAUUUUCUGAGAGUCGAUACAAAGUCCCCUUACUUGGUUGUAUAUUCCCCCUUCUAAAUCAGCUACCUUUUGUCUUACCAUUUGCUUUAACCAUUUUAUUAAUGUAUGUGUGGCCACAUUUGUUUUUCCUUGCCCCCAUGCUAUUUUAAAUUCCAUGCUAUACUUCUGUAGAGCUCAGAUGUGUUUAAUUGUGUGUUUAAUGAUACUUUAUGCAUUCAACAAGUGGUGUUGGUAUUUACUUAAGCGAAUGUUCUAUCAGUGGUAAUGUCUUUCACUCAACAAUGGGUCCAUAAUAACUGAAGUAAUCAGGGUUGCAAGAUAUGGCCCUUUUGUCUGGGGUGCCUCAUCUCAUUACACAGAGCCCUAUAACCUGUCAUCACUGGUGCACCACAGGGUUGGAGCCAACCUAAUGAAGACCACCUGAUGAGGAUGCACAUGACUGAGACCGAUGUCAGACAUCAGCCUUGUACUGUGAUCAGCAUGUUGUGUUGUGUUCAGGUUAGGGUCUCCUAGGGACAGCAUUGCUCUGACAGUGGGCAAGUGACUGAAGAAAAUUACAUUUUGAAACAUUACAUUUUGCAUGGUUAGUCCAAAAUAGGAAGGCUUGAAGCUUACACAUUCAGAAAUUGAGAAAAGGACCUCCACAAUGUUUUUUAUUCAUUGUGUGACCUCCGAGAAGAAAGAGACCUGCAUUUGGAAAGAGCCUUUUACUUUCCAUUAGGUCUUCUAUUAGAUUUCAGUUAAUGAACUACUUCUGAAAUGUAGUCACUCAUAACGAAAUGUACAUGACAGCCAAUUUGCCCACAACAAGCUCCUGCAAACAGCAACAGAACAAUGUGUGCGUAAUGUGUUUGUGCUAUUGUGGGGGAAUAAAUACUUGCUGAAACAAUUUAGCUUCCAGAUAGAUCUAUGCUUCCAAUUCCAAAGUUUAUUUUUGAUUCUCUGGCAGUUGGUUUUAUCUUUUUCCUGUGCCCGAUUUAUUAUGUGCUACCCUGUGCUGUUCCAGUUUUCUCCUCUCCUCCUCUCUGUAUGCAAUUCCACUCUUUUAUAAUUU